rnacentral:rRNA from 1 species
UACGUAGGGUCCGAGCGUUGUCCGGAAUUACUGGGCGUAAAGCGCGCGCAGGCGGCUUCCCAAGCGCCACGUGAAAUCCCUCGGCUUAACCGGGGAACUGCGUCUGAUACUGGAUGGCUUGAGUUCGGGAGAGGGAUGCGGAAUUCCAGGUGUAGCGGUGAAAUGCGUAGAUAUCUGGAGGAACACCGGUGGCGAAGGCGGCAUCCUGGACCGACACUGACGCUGAGGAGCGAAAGCCAGGGGAGCAAAGCGGG